UACGGGGGGGGCAAGCGUUGUUCGGAAUUACUGGGCGUAAAGGGCCCGUAGGCGGCCAACUAAGUCAGACGUGAAAUCCCUAGGCUCAACCUAGGAACUGCGUCUGAUACUGGAUGGCUUGAAUCCGGGAGAGGGAUGCAGAAUUCCAGGUGUAGCAGUGAAAUGCGUAGAUAUCUGGAGGAAUACCGGUGGUGUAGACGGCUUUCUGGACCGUAACUGACGCUGAGACACGAAAGCGUGGGUAGCAAACAGG
rnacentral:rRNA from 1 species